ACUACGGGAGGCAGCAGUGGGGGAUAUUGCACAAUGGGGGGAACCCUGAUGCAGCCAAGCCGCGUGGGUGAAGAAGCGCCUCGGCGCGUAAAGCCCUGUCAGCAGGGGAGAAAAUGACGGUACCUGAAGACGAAGCCCCGGCUAACUACGUGCCAGCAUCCGCGGUAAUACGUAGGGGGCAGGCGUUAUCCGGAUUUACUGGGUGUAAAGGGGGCGCAGGAGGGGAUGCAGGCCAGGAGUGAAAGCUCGGGGCCCAACCCCGAGACUGCUCUUGGAACUGCGUGGCUGGAGUGCAGGAGGGGCAGGCGGAAUUCGUGGUGUAGCGGUGAAAUGCGUAGAUAUCAGGAGGAACACCGGUGGCGAAGGCGGCCUGCUGGACUACAACUGACGUUGAGGCCCGAAAGCGUGGGGAGCAAACAGGAUUAGAUACCCCAGUAGUC
rnacentral:rRNA from 1 species